UACGUAGGGUGCAAGCGUUAAUCGGAAUUACUGGGCGUAAAGCGUGCGCAGGCGGUUUUGUAAGUCUGACGUGAAAUCCCCGGGCUCAACCUGGGAAUUGCGUUGGAGACUGCAAGGCUGGAGUCUGGCAGAGGGGGGUAGAAUUCCACGUGUAGCAGUGAAAUGCGUAGAGAUGUGGAGGAACACCGGAUGGCGAAGGCAGCCCCCUGGGUCAAGACUGACGCUCAUGCACGAAAGCGUGGGGAGCAAACAGG
rnacentral:rRNA from 1 species